GAUGAACGCUGGCGGCGUGCCUAAUACAUGCCAGUCGAGCGAACAGAUGAGGAGCUUGCUCCUCUGACGUUAGCGGCGGACGGGUGAGUAACACGUGGAUAACCUACCUAUAAGACUGGGAUAACUUCGGGAAACCGGAGCUAAUACCGGAUAAUAUAUUGAACCGCAUGGUUCAAUAGUGAAAGACGGUUUUGCUGUCACUUAUAGAUGGAUCCGCGCCGCAUUAGCUAGUUGGUAAGGUAACGGCUUACCAAGGCAACGAUGCGUAGCCGACCUGAGAGGGUGAUCGGCCACACUGGAACUGAGACACGGUCCAGACUCCUACGGGAGGCAGCAGUAGGGAAUAUUCCGCAAUGGGCGAAAGCCUGACGGAGCAACGCCGCGUGAGUGAUGAAGGUCUUCGGAUCGUAAAACUCUGUUAUUAGGGAAGAACAAAUGUGUAAGUAACUAUGCACGUCUUGACGGUACCUAAUCAGAAAGCCACGGCUAACUACGUG
rnacentral:rRNA from 1 species